rnacentral:Y_RNA from 1 species
GGUUGGUACGAGUGCAGUGGUGUUUACAACUAAUUGAUCACAGCCGGUUACAGAUUCCUUUGUUCCUCCUCCAUGCCCACUGCUUCACUUGACCAGCCUUAA